GGUUCGGUAGCUCAGUUGGUAAGAGCAGUCGCACAGUUUGCGAGAGUCCCAGGUUGAAAUCCCGGUCGAGCUU
rnacentral:tRNA from 1 species